rnacentral:rRNA from 1 species
UACGGAGGGUGCAAGCGUUAAUCGGAAUUACUGGGCGUAAAGCGUGCGUAGGCGGUUCGUUAAGUCUGUUGUGAAAGCCCCGGGCUCAACCUGGGAAUGGCAAUGGAUACUGGCGAGCUAGAGUGUGUCAGAGGAUGGUGGAAUUCCCGGUGUAGCGGUGAAAUGCGUAGAGAUCGGGAGGAACAUCAGUGGCGAAGGCGGCCAUCUGGGACAACACUGACGCUGAGGCACGAAGGCCAGGGGAGCAAACGGG